rnacentral:rRNA from 1 species
UAGUCAUAUGCUUGUCUCAAAGAUUAAGCCAUGCACGUCCAAGUAUGAACGAGAUCAUACAGUGAGACUGCGGAUGGCUCAUUAAAUCAGUUAUAGUUUAUUUGAUGGUUCCUUGCGCCUCGCGCUACUCGGAUAACCGUAGUAAUCCUAGAGCUAAUACGUGCGUACGGCCCCGACUAGGGGGGGGCGUUGGACGGCUUCGCAAGGAGUCGUACGGCGUCCCACCUACCCCUCGGAAGGGGCGUAUUUAUUAGAUAAAGAACCGACGCGGGGCAUU